rnacentral:rRNA from 1 species
CGGUGGAUGCCUUGGCGCUGAGAGGCGAUGAAGGACGUGCUACGCUGCGAUAAGCCGUGGGGAGCUGCGAAGAAGCUUUGAUCCGCGGAUUUCCGAAUGGGGAAACCCACCUUCGAUAGCCGGAACUCCAAGACCUUGGUCUUGGGGUUC